rnacentral:rRNA from 1 species
GAUGAACGCUAGCUACAGGCCCUCCUAUGCAAGUCGAGGGGCAGCGGUAUCAAAAGCUUGUUUUCGGUAGCCGGCGACCGGCGCACGGGUGAGUAACUCUUAUCGAACCUGCCUCAUACUCGGAAAUAGCCUUGCAAAAGUAAAAUUAAUGCCCGGUGUUUUCAAAGUCCCGCAUGAGGCUUUGAACAAAGAUUUAUCGGUAUGAGAUGGCGAUGCGUCCCAUUACCUUGUUGGCGGGGUAACGGCCCACCAAGGCAUCGAUGGGUAGGGGUUCUGAGAGGAAGGUCCCCCACACUGGAACUGAAACACGGUCCAAACUCCUACGGGAGGCAGCAGUGAGGAAUAUUGGUCAAUGGGCGAGAGCCUGAACCAGCCAAGUCGCGUGAGGAACAAAUGGUCUAUGGCCUGUAAACCUCUUUUGUCAAGGAAAAAUAAAUCGCACGGGUGCGAUCUUGCCAGUACUUGACAAAUAAGCAUCGGCUAACUCUGUG